UACGUAGGGAGCAAGCGUUGUCCGGAAUCAUUGGGCGUAAAGCGCGCGUAGGUGGCUUCGUAAGUCCGCUGUGAAAGUCAAAGGCUCAACCUUUGAAAGCCGGUGGAUACUGCGGGGCUAGAGUACGGAAGAGGCGAGUGGAAUUCCUGGUGUAGCGGUGAAAUGCGCAGAUAUCAGGAAGAACACCCGUGGCGAAGGCGGUUCUCUGGGACGGUACUGACGCUGAGACGCGAAAGCGUGGGGAGCGAACAGG
rnacentral:rRNA from 1 species